rnacentral:rRNA from 1 species
CCCUAUGGGGUGCAGCAGGCGGAGGGAAAAGUGAUAUGCUUCUCGGCCUCGCUCUCACACAGCAUACACGAUCAAUUAUCUAUCGCCGUGAGGGUACGCAAAACUUAGCCCUUGUUGAUCGUCUACUGAAUGAAAUACUCCAUGAGCGAAAAGGAUGGAACGGGCAAGACCACGUAUGGCGUGGCAAUGGCAGACAAAUAGAAUUCGGGGCCUGUAAGGAUUUAGGCGACGAGCAGAGGUAUCAAGGCAGGGCUCAUGAUCUUAAGGGCUUUGACGAUAUUACACAUUUUCUUGAAUCACAGUUGCGUUUUCUUUGCGGGUGGCUUCGUUCCGCACAACCUGGACAGAGAAAGCGAAUCGUCUGUACCGGCAAUCCUCCUACAAAUUCAGACGGUCAGUGGGUUAAAGAGUAUUGGGGAGC